GACGAACGCUGGCGGCGCGCUUAACACAUGCAAGUCGAGCGAGAACCGGGACUUCGGUCCCGGGGGCAGCGGCGAACGGGUGAGUAACACGUGGGUAAUCCACCCUCGGCGACCGGGAUAGCCCGAGGAAACUCGGAUUAAUACCGGAUGGCCCCUCCGGCUCUCGAGCCGGUCGGGAAAGGUAGCUUAGGCCUCUGGCCGGGGACGAGCCCGCGGCGGAUUAGCUUGUUGGUGGGGUAAUGGCCUACCAAGGCGACGAUCCGAGCUGGUCUGAGAGGACGAUCAGCCACACUGGGACUGAGACACGGCCCAGACUCCUACGGGGGGCAGCAGUGGGGAAUCUUGCCCAAUGGGCGAAAGCCUGAGGCAGCGACGCCGCGUGAGGGAAGAAGGCCUU
rnacentral:rRNA from 1 species